AUGAACGCUGGCGGCGUGCCUAAUACAUGCAAGUCGAGCGAACAGAUGAGGAGCUUGCUCCUCUGACGUUAACGGCGGACGGGUGAGUAACCCGUGGAUAACCUACCUAUAAGACUGGGAUAACUUCGGGAAACCGGAGCUAAUACCGGAUAAUAUAUUGAACCGCAUGGUUCAAUAGUGAAAGACGGUUUUGCUGUCACUUAUAGAUGGAUCCGCGCCGCAGUAGCUAGUUGGUAAGGUAACGGCUUACCAAGGCAACGAUGCGUAGCCGACCUGAGAGGGUGAUCGGCCACACUGGAACUGAGACACGGUCCAGACUCCUACGGGAGGCAGCAGUAGGGAAUCUUCCGCAAAGGGCGAAAGCCUGACGGAGCAACGCCGCGUGAGUGAUGAAGGUCUUCGGAUCGUAAAACUCUGUUAUUAGGGAAGAACAAAUGUGUAAGUAACUAUGCACGUCUUGACGGUACCUAAUCAGAAAGCCACGGCUAACUACGUG
rnacentral:rRNA from 1 species